rnacentral:rRNA from 1 species
AGUGAACGCUGGCGGCAGGCCUAACACAUGCAAGUCGAACGGCAGCACGGCAGUAGCAAUACUGUGGGUGGCGAGUGGCGGACGGGUGAGGAAUACAUCGGGAUCUACCCUGUUGUGGGGGAUAACGUAGGGAAACUUACGCUAAUACCGCAUAAGAACUGAGGUUGAAAGCGGCGGACCGCAAGGCGUCGCGCGAUUGGAUGAACCGAUGUCCGAUUAGCUAGUUGGCGGGGUAAAGGCCCACCAAGGCGACGAUCGGUAGCUGGUCUGAGAGGACGACCAGCCACACUGGAACUGAGACACGGUCCAGACUCCUACGGGAGGCAGCAGU